AGUGGCGAACGGGUGAGUAACACGUGGGCAAUCUGCCCUGCACUCUGGGACAAGCCCUGGAAACGGGGUCUAAUACCGGAUACUGACCUGCCAAGGCAUCUUGGCGGGUCGAAAGCUCCGGCGGUGCAGGAUGAGCCCGCGGCCUAUCAGCUUGUUGGUGAGGUAAUGGCUCACCAAGGCGACGACGGGUAGCCGGCCUGAGAGGGCGACCGGCCACACUGGGACUGAGACACGGCCCAGACUCCUACGGGAGGCAGCAGUGGGGAAUAUUGCACAAUGGGCGCAAGCCUGAUGCAGCGACGCCGCGUGAGGGAUGACGGCCUUCGGGUUGUAAACCUCUUUCAGCAGGGAAGAAGCGAAAGUGACGGUACCUGCAGAAGAAGCGCCGGCUAACUACGUGCCAGCAGCCGCGGUAAUACGUAGGGCGCAAGCGUUGUCCGGAAUUAUUGGGCGUAAAGAGCUCGUAGGCGGCUUGUCGCGUCGGUUGUGAAAGCCCGGGGCUUAACCCCGGGUCUGCAGUCGAUACGGCAGGGCUAGAGUUCGGUAGGGGAGAUCGGAAUUCCUGGUGUAGCGGUGAAAUGCGCAGAUAUCAGGAGGAACACCGGUGGCGAAGGCGGAUCUCUGGGCCGAUACUGACGCUGAGGAGCGAAAGCGUGGGGAGCGAACAGGAUUAGAUA
rnacentral:rRNA from 1 species